UUACUUAAAACCCUAAUUCCUUACCCUUUGAUUGCGGCACACACACCCCACCCCCACAGACUUCUCUCUUCCUCGUUUCUUCUCUUCCCCAUUUCCGUUUUCUUCCUUCUCUUCCUCCAUUGGUUCCAUUUUCUUUCCUUCUAUUGUUCGUGCUGUGGAGGACUGUGUAGGAGUUUGGUGCUUGGUUGGUACUUCGUUCGCGGUUGAUUUUCUACUAUCCAGCCGGGGCAAACGAGGAAUGAGGAGAUGGAGGGAGAAGGCUAUAGUAGUGUAGGCAGAAGCUCUCCAUAUUCCAUGAAGGUAAAGACGGUGACGUAAUCAUGAACAGCAGAAAAUACAGAUGGUUAUUCUGAGAGAAAUUUGGGGCAACAGCGGUCUAAAUCCUCUAUCAGCUUUACCUUACCUCUCUGUACUGUCUCUGGGCUUUGCCAGGAUCUUUUAAUUCCGUUACCAACUUUCAUAAUGAAGACAAGGGCUAUAUGGUUUUACCUGGAGAUGUUUUUUGAUUUGCCUAUUCGGAAGGAAAUCGUGUCGUUAGGUGGAAGCUUGCAAAAUGACAACAGUUCAGGGGUGGUGUCACCAUGCAUGGCCCACGGUCUCGAAGUCAUCCUUUCAAAGUCAAUAAGGUUCGGCGUCUAGGGCUAAAGAUUCUCGUGCAAUAGAAGGAAGAGAGCUUCACCUUGCACCUCACCCAUCUCAGCCUACACCUCCAAAUUUUAUGAUUUUUCCAUCUGUGCCCUUGUCAAAAAGAAUCUUUGAUUGCAUUUUCUUUUUAAUUGACUCAUUCCAACAAAACCCUACACCACCCACCCCUCCUCUCUCAAAUUGUGUAACCAAACCUUACGCCACCCUUGUCUCCUCUCUUCUCGCAAUCUCAUAUCGCAUCUUGCCUCCUCCCCUCCUCCCUCAUUUGCCUUCUCAAUUUGCCGUUCAUCCUCACAAUUCUCCUCUCGUCAUUGUCCUUUGGCGACUGUCGUGGUGGUGGUGAGAGCCUUUCCUUGGAGAGUUUCUCCUUGCACCUCACCUAUCUCAAUUUGCACCUCUCCAUUGGCAUUUUUAUCCUUCAUUUAUUAAAGUUUGUACUGGUUUAAUGAUGUUGGUUUAAUUCCAACAACCAACAACCUUUAAACCAUGUUUCUAUAAACCCUGCAUGCACCUCCUUUCCAUUUUUUCAUUGUUUCUUCACUGUUGAGUGCUCAUUUCUUCACUAUUGAGGGCUAUCGAUCUUUGAAGUGCGGCAAUACAUAAUCAUUGUUCGAACACCGCUACACCCUUAACUGUAGUUCCAACUAUGAUUAAGGGUGUUUACGAUUAUAUCUACUAACCUUGAUGCCUUUCGAAUGCGUAAAUCUCUUUCACCACCUUUCUCCUUCAGGAACCACACCACACAACAUGACCACCACUGUAUCAUCACAUUCAAAAGACAAGCUCUCACAAAAUCAUCUCAGUGAAACAACUCAAGAGUGAAGAAAUGGACACUCAACAGUAAAGAAACAGUAAAGAAAUGGGAAGGGGCGCAUGCAAGGUUUAUAGAAACAAGGUUUAAAGGUUGUUGGUUGUUGGAAUUAAACCAACAUCAUUAAACCAUCAUUAUGGUUGUACAAACUUUAAUAAAUAAAGAGUAAAAAUGUCAAAUGGAAGGUGCAGAGAUGGGUGAGGUACACAGAGAAGCUCUCUAAGGAAAGGUCUUCAUCACCACCACGACAGUCACCAAAUGACAAUGACAAGAGGUGAAUUGUGAGAAUGAACCCCGAACUGAGAAUGUGAGAAGGCAAAUGAGGGAGGAGGGAAGGAGGCAGAAUGAGAUCCGAGACUGCAAGAAGAGAGGAGGCAGGAGUGGUGUAGGGUUUGGUUACGCAAAUGAAAGGCCCUCACCACCACCAUGACAACUACCGAAGGAGAAUGACAAGAGGUGAAUUGUGAGAAUGAAUCACGAACUGAGAGUGCAUGCGAGAAGGCAAAUGAGAGAGGAGGCAUGAUGCAAUAUGAGAGUGCAAGAAGAGAGGAGGCAGGGGUGGUGUAGGGUUUGGUUACACAAAUGAGAGAGGAGAUGAAAUGCGACAAAUGAGAGAGAGAGGAGCAAGGGAGGGUGGUGUAGAGUUUUGUUUGAAUGAGUCAAUUAAAAAGAAAAUGCAGUCAAAGAAUUUUUCUGACAAAAGCACAUAUGGAAAAAUCAUAAAAGGUGGAGGCAUAGAGGGAUGAGGUGUGAGGAGAAGCUCUCCAAAAGGAAUGGCAAGUUUCCUCCCCACUCAUGAUUGACCUUAUUCGUCAUAAAAGAUAUAAAUGUGGCAUCUCUACAUUAUUCUAUCUUCUACAUGAGUGUACGUUUCUUGGUUAUACUCAAUAUGGUGUGAUUUUUAAGUAUUGACUUCUGGAAGAUUUCGUUUUUAAAAUUUAAGUUUAUUUUUAAUUAUACUACUUGUAUAACUAUUUUUUUUUUCAAUGUACGUUUCAUUGAAAAUUAACUAUCACUAUACCUAAAAAUUUGGUUGUGGUGUUGUAUUUGCUGCAAUGAAAACCCUCCAACAAAAUCAAAA